CUCUCUCGCCUCCUCUCUGUGAUGUGAUUUGUGAUUGGUUGGAGGAACAACCCAGAGUGGGUCGGUGGGAACACACAGGAAAAAGAUCUGCCAGUGAUUGCGGAGAGGAGCCAACCCUAUGUGAACUGUCCAUUUAAUCCCUCAAAUUAAACAACUUGUGAAUCUGCUGCAAAGCAGAUUCACUCUUCAGAUAACCCACGGCAUGAAGGCAUGUGUGAAUAACUCCCAGGAAGACCUGAUGAGGGACCACCACCACCCCCAGCACUCCUUGAUGUCCAUUUGAGAACAGCAGGCUCAGCAAAGGGUGGGUUCAGGAAGCCAAGAAAUAGCAUUGAUCAGUGUGUCAUGUGGACGAUCUAUAAACAGGAACAGAGGAGGCUGUCUUUAAGCUCCUGCUUUGCGGGUUUCUCUGAGGCCACGGGAGGUCUAUGGAGGUGCCCCUCCCCCAUUAGCCUCCAUUAAGUUGUAAAUUGCCCUGUUCGGGUGGUCAUUGGCCCAUUCUGGGCCUCACCAGUGUAGCGGCAGCCAUUUUGGAGGCUGCAGCGCAUGCCCAAUGGGCCUCUGCAUCGCCGAGCCGUGACCCAGGAA